UAACUUUGCUAAACGGUCGCGCGGUAUCACGCCGAAAGGUAUUACCGUGAGGAAAGUCCGGGCUUCAUAGGGCAGGAUAGCUGAUAACGUCAGCCGCAGGUGACUGCCGGGAAAGUGCAACAGAAAUAAACCGCCCGCAUCGCGGGUAAGGAUGGAAAGGCGAGGUAAGAGCUCACCCGUUCUUAUGGUAACAUAGGUCCGCUGUAAACCCUAUCCGAAGCAACACCGUAGGGGGAUCGUUUGCCCGACUCAUAUCCCCGGGUGGCACGGCUUUUGCCGGAGCGUAUUGGCGACAGUACGCAAAGAUAGAUGACCGUUCACGACAGAACCCGGCUUACAGGUAAAGUUAAAAA
rnacentral:RNase_P_RNA from 1 species